AUCAACUUUCGAUGGUAGGAUAGAGGCCUACCAUGGUGGUAACGGGUAACGGGGUGUUAGGGCACGACACCGGAGAGGGAGCCUGAGAAACGGCUACCACAUCCAAGGAUGGCAGCAGGCGCGCAAAUUACCCAAUCCCGACACGGGGAGGUAGUGACAAUAAAUAACAAUACGGGGUUCUAUAGGAUUUCGUAAUUGGAAUGAGUACAAUUUAAAUCUCUUAACGAUCAACAAUUGGAGGGCAAGUCUGGUGCCAGCAGCCGCGGUAAUUCCAGCUCCAAUAGCGUAUAUUAAAGUUGUUGCAGUUAAAAAGCUCGUAGUUGAAUUUCGGGGUUAGUAGGUUGGUCAUGCCUCUGGUAUGUACUGAUCUCACUGAUUCCUCCCUCUUGACGAACUGUAAUGUCAUUAAUUUGGUGUUGCAGGAAAUCAGGACUGUUACUUUGAAAAAAUUAGAGUGUUUAAAGCAGGCUAAGGCUUGAAUACAUUAGCAUGGAAUAAUGAAAUAGGACGUUUGAACCUAUUUUGUUGGUUUCUAGGAUCGACGUAAUGAUUAAUAGGGAUAGUUGGGGGCAUUAGUAUUCAAUUGUCAGAGGUGAAAUUCUUGGAUUUAUUGAAGACUAACUACUGCGAAAGCAUUUGCCAAGGAUGUUUUCAUUAAUCAAGAACGAAAGUUAGGGGAUCGAAGACGAUCAGAUACCGUCGUAGUCUUAACCAUAAACUAUGCCGACUAGGGAUCGGAUGAUGUUAAUUUUUUAAUGACUCAUUCGGCGCCUUACGGGAAACCAAAGUGUUUGGGUU
rnacentral:rRNA from 1 species